rnacentral:rRNA from 1 species
UACGAAGGGGGCUAGCGUUGUUCGGAAUUACUGGGCGUAAAGCGCACGUAGGCGGAUUGUUAAGUUAGGGGUGAAAUCCCAGGGCUCAACCCUGGAACUGCCUUUAAUACUGGCAAUCUCGAGUCCGAGAGAGGUGAGUGGAAUUCCGAGUGUAGAGGUGAAAUUCGUAGAUAUUCGGAGGAACACCAGUGGCGAAGGCGGCUCACUGGCUCGGUACUGACGCUGAGACGCGAAAGCGUGGGGAGCAAACAGG